UGGGGAAUAUUGCACAAUGGGGGAAACCCUGAUGCAGCGACGCCGCGUGAACGAAGAAGGUAUUCGUAUCGUAAAGUUCUGUCCUAUGGGAAGAUAAUGACAGUACCAUAGAAGAAAGCUCCGGCUAAAUACGUGCCAGCAGCCGCGGUAAUACGUAUGGAGCGAGCGUUGUCCGGAAUUAUUGGGCGUAAAGGGUACGCAGGCGGUUUAAUAAGUCGAAUGUUAAAGAUCGGGGCUCAACCCCGGAAAGCAUUGGAAACUGAUAAACUUGAGUAGUGGAGAGGAAAGUGGAAUUCCUAGUGUAGUGGUGAAAUACGUAGAUAUUAGGAGGAAUACCAGUAGCGAAGGCGGCUUUCUGGACACAAACUGACGCUGAGGUACGAAAGCGUGGGGAGCAAACAGG
rnacentral:rRNA from 1 species